CUACAUGAGCCCGCGAGAUGAGAAAUAAAUGACGCACUACACUAAUGGCAUUGGUCAGACAUGUGACAUCUUAUGAAGUUAGCGGCGGACGGGUGAGUAACACGUGGGUAACCUGCCCAUAAGACUGGGAUAACUCCGGGAAACCGGGGCUAAUACCGGAUAACAUUUUGAACCGCAUGGUUCGAAAUUGAAAGGCGGCUUCGGCUGUCACUUAUGGAUGGACCCGCGUCGCAUUAGCUAGUUGGUGAGGUAACGGCUCACCAAGGCAACGAUGCGUAGCCGACCUGAGAGGGUGAUCGGCCACACUGGGACUGAGACACGGCCCAGACUCCUACGGGAGGCAGCAGUAGGGAAUCUUCCGCAAUGGACGAAAGUCUGACGGAGCAACGCCGCGUGAGUGAUGAAGGCUUUCGGGUCGUAAAACUCUGUUGUUAGGGAAGAACAAGUGCUAGUUGAAUAAGCUGGCACCUUGACGGUACCUAACCAGAAAGCCACGGCUAACUACGUGCCAGCAGCCGCGGUAAUACGUAGGUGGCAAGCGUUAUCCGGAAUUAUKGGGCGUAAAGCGCGCGCAGGUGGUUUCUUAAGUCUGAUGUGAAAGCCCACGGCUCAACCGUGGAGGGUCAUGGGAAACUGGGAGACUUGAGUGCAGAAGAGGAAAGUGGAAUCCAUGUGUAGCGGUGAAAUGCGUAGAGAUAUGAGGAACACCAGUGGCGAAGGCGACUUUCUGGUCUGUAMCUGACCUGAGGCGCGAAGCGUGGGAGCAACAGGAUAAAUACCUGUAGUCA
rnacentral:rRNA from 2 species